AGGAUCCCUGCACAAUCGAUUCUGGGACAGAGGCAGCAGAAGGAUCUCCAAAACUUUGGUGUUGGAUUGCAUGACUUCAUGGCUAGCGGUGGAGACGGUUUUGCCGGUGAUGCGGUGGACCUGGUAGAAGGCAUGUGGUCGCAGGAGGCGGUCGUCUGCGGUCCCGAUGAACAGCUGGAGGGUGAGCGGCUCGCUUUCCAUGUAGCCAUAAAGCUGUCGGGAGAACAAAUGUAGCCAGUGCUGAACAGAUGAUAAUCUCCUGCCCACUCCACCCAUCGUGACACACCUCCUCACUUCAGGCCUGACUGACUUUCCUCAUAGUCUCAGCUGUUUUUUUUUGUUUUUAUCUUGAACAUAUGUGCAAAAUAGCACUUGUCCUAAUACCCACCCAAACACAUUGAGGCUGUGUCAGUCCUGUGUGCUGCACAGUCUUGAAACUCUUGGGUCACAUGUGUGCUGAGCAAA